AACGCGAAGAACCUUACCAAGGCUUGACAUGCCCGAGAACGGGCCAGAGAUGGUCUUCUCUUUGGAUACUCGGGUGCAGGUGGUGCAUGGUUGUCGUCAGCUCGUGUCGUGAGAUGUUGGGUUAAGUCCCGCAACGAGCGCAACCCUUGUUGCAUGUUGCCAGCACGUUGUGGUGGGGACUCAUGUGAGACUGCCGGGGUGAACUCGGAGGAAGGUGGGGAUGACGUCAAAUCAUCAUGCCCCUUAUGUCUUGGGCUUCACGCAUGCUACAAUGGUUGGUACAGAGGGUUGCGAUACUGUGAGGUGGAGCGAAUCCCUUAAAGCCAUUCUCAGUUCGGAUUGAGGUCUGCAACUCGACCUUAUGAAGUCGGAGUCGCUAGUAAUCGCAGAUCAGCAAUGCUGCGGUGAAUACGUUCCCGGGCCUUGUACACACCGCUCGUC
rnacentral:rRNA from 1 species